CCAGAGGGUCGGGCGGCCGCGUCGCACUUCAAGUGCGCCGAGGAAAGUCCGGGCUCCACGGAACAACGGUGCCGGGUAACGCCCGGCGGUCCUGCGCAAGCAGGGUCAGGGACAGUGCCACAGAAAGCAGACCGCCUGGGCUUCGGCUCGGCAAGGGCGAAAGGGUGCGGCAAGAGCGCACCGCGGGUCCGGCAACGGGAACGGCAUGGCAAACCCCACCGGGAGCAAGACCGAAUAGGGGCGGCACAUGGGCCUUGUUCCGGCUCGUCGCCCGGGUUGGUUGCUGGAGGCUGUCGGCAACGGCAGCCCGAGAGGAAUGGCCGCACAUCGCCUUCGGGCGAGGACAGAACCCGGCUUAUAGACCCUCUGGCGCC
rnacentral:RNase_P_RNA from 2 species